rfam:Hordeum vulgare subsp. vulgare, WGS project CAJW01000000 data, contig: morex_contig_53597
AUGAUACUCCCUCUGUCUGAAAAUACUUGUCCUAUAAAUGAAUAAAAUGGAUAUAUCUAUAACUAAAAAAAUCUAGAUACAUGUAUUUUUAGGACAAAUAUUUCCGGAUGGAGGGAGUACUAU